rnacentral:rRNA from 1 species
UACAGAGGUGGCAAGCGUUGUUCGGAAUUACUGGGCGUAAAGGGCGCGUAGGCGGCCUUCUAAGUCAGACGUGAAAUCCCCCGGCUUAACCUGGGAACUGCGUCUGAUACUGGGAGGCUAGAGUGCGGGAGAGGGAUGCGGAAUUCCAGGUGUAGCGGUGAAAUGCGUAGAUAUCUGGAGGAACACCGGAGGCGAAGGCGGCUUGCUGGGCAUUGUCUGACGCUGAGGCGCGAAAGCGUGGGGAGCGAACAGG